CCUACGGGAGGCAGCAGUGGGGAAUAUUGCACAAUGGGGGAAACCCUGAUGCAGCGACGCCGCGUGAGUGAAGAAGUCUUUCGGUAUGUAAAGCUCUAUCAGCAGGGAAGAAAAUGACGGUAGUUGCUUAUGAAUCCCCGGCUACCUACGUGCCAGCAGCCGCGGUAAUACGUAGGGGGCAAGCGUUAUCCGGAUUUACUGGGUGUAAAGGGAGCGUAGACGGUGAUGCAAGUCAGAAGUGAAAGCCCAGGGCUCAACUCCGGGACUGCUUUUGAAACUGUGUGACUGGAGUGCAGGAGAGGCAAGCGGAAUUCCGGGUGUAGCGGUGAAAUGCGUAGAUAUCAGGAGGAACACCAGUGGCGAAGGCGGCUUACUGGACUGUAACUGACGUUGAGGCGCGAAAGCGUGGGGAGCAAACAGGAUUAGAUACCCCAGUAGUC
rnacentral:rRNA from 1 species